AAAUGAAUAGACGGGGGCCCGCACAAGCGGCGGAGCAUGCGGAUUAAUUCGAUGCAACGCGAAGAACCUUACCAAGGCUUGACAUAUACGAGAACGGGCUAGAAAUAGUCAACUCUUUGGACACUCGUAUACAGGUGGUGCAUGGUUGUCGUCAGCUCGUGUCGUGAGAUGUUCGGUUAAGUCCGGCAACGAGCGCAACCCUCGUCCUAUGUUGCCAGCACGUUAUGGUGGGAACUCAUGGGAUACUGCCGUGGUCAACACGGAGGAAGGUGGGGAUGACGUCAAAUCAUCAUGCCCCUUAUGUCUUGGGCUUCACGCAUGCUACAAUGGCCGAUACAAUGGGCUGCGAUACCGCGAGGUGGAGCGAAUCCCAAAAAGUCGGUCUCAGUUCGGAUUGGGGUCUGCAACUCGACCCCAUGAAGUCGGAGUCGCUAGUAAUCGCAGAUCAGCAACGCUGCGGUGAAUACGUUCCCGGGCCUUGUACACACCGCCCGU
rnacentral:rRNA from 1 species